ACGCAAGCAUGGUAAGGGCGGACGGUGGAUCCCUCGGCAGCCGGAGGCGAUGAAGGGCGUGGCCAGCUGCGAUAAGCCCCGGGGAGCCGCUGAGCGGGCUAUGAUCCGGGGAUUCCCGAAUGGGGCAACCCACCGUACCGUUGAGGUGCGGUAUCCGCCGCCGAACACAUAAGCGGUGGAGGCGAACCCCGCGAAGGGAAACAUCCCAGUAGCGGGAGGAAAAGAAACCAACACCUGCCGCAAGGCAGGCGCGUUCGCCAAAAGCGGGCGUGGGGAUUCCCCUAGUAGCGGCGAGCGAACGGGGAGGAGCCCAAACCUCAUGGGUGCAAUAGGCCGCAGCCGUUGCCCGUGGGGGGUUGUGGGGCGAUGGUGGGGGCCGCUGCGGAGGCCCCGGGGAGUUACAAAGGCCUUCUCUAGCCGAACGGCCAGCAAAGUCACUGGAAAGGGCGACCGGAGAGGGUGAAAGUCCCGUAGGCGAAAGGGAAGGCCCUCCCUGGCCAUCGACCCCGAGUAGCGUCGGACACGAGGAAUCCGGCGCGAAGCUGGGGGGACCACCCUCCAAGGCUAAAUACUACCGGCUGACCGAUAGUGCACCAGUACCGUGAGGGAAAGGUGAAAAGCACCCCGGGAGGGGAGUGAAAUAGAACGUGAAACCGUCCGCCUACAGUGCAGUGGGAGCCUUUUCCGCCUUGGCCUUCGGGCCCUGGCGGAGGGGUGACCGCGUGCCUUUUGCAGUAUGAGCCGGCGAGUUACGCUCCGUGGCGAGGUUAAGCCCCUUUGGGGCGGAGCCGUAGCGAAAGCGAGUCCGAACAGGGCGACUAGUCACGGGGCGUAGACCCGAAGCCAGGUGAUCUACCCAUGGGCAGGGUGAAGUGCGCCUAAACGCGCACGGAGGCCCGAACCCGUUGGCUGUGCAACGCCAUGGGAUGACCUGUGGGUAGCGGUGAAAAGCCAAUCGCACCUGGUGAUAUCUGGCUCUCCCCGAAAUGGCUCUAGGGUCAGCCUCACGUUACAGGCGGCCGGGGGUAGAGCACUGGCUGGGGAAGGGGGGAAACUCCCGACUCCAAUCAAACUCCGAAUACCGGCCGUCGUUUCGUGGGAGUGAGACUGUGGGUGAUAACGUCCAUAGUCGAGAGGGAAACAACCCAGACCGCCAGCUAAGGCCCCCAAAUCCAGGCUAAGUGGGAAAGGCGGUGUGGUUGCUGAAACAGCUGGGAGGUUGGCUUAGAAGCAGCCAUCCUUUAAAGAGUGCGUAAUAGCUCACCAGUCUAGCGACCGCGCGCCGAAAAUGUAACGGGGCUAAGCCUGGUGCCGAAGCUGCGGGGCGUCUGUCUUCGGACGGGCGUCGGUAGGGGAGCGUUCCCAGCGGGUCGAAGCCGCGUCGCGAGGCGCGGUGGACUGCUGGGAAGUGAGAAUGCCGGCAUGAGUAGCGCAAGACGGGUGAGAAUCCCGUCCACCGAAUGCCCAAGGUUUCCUGGGGAAGGCUGAUCCACCCAGGGUUAGGCGGCCCUAAGCCGAACCCGAAAGGGGGUAGGCGAUGGACAGCCGGUUAAUAUUCCGGCCCCUCCGGGCCUGCGUUAUGAGCGAAGGGGGGACGCCGCGCGAGCCCCUCCGCAGGCUCACGGCUAUGCCUGUCCAAGCACCGAGCCAGAGGGGGUAGGCAAAUCCGCCCCCUCGCAACCGGCCUGUCCUCGUCCUUCGGGAUGGGGGCGGGUCGUCCAGGUGAGGUGUGAUGGCGAGUCCCGUAAGGGGCGAAGGGAGACGGCUUGAGCGGCCGAGAAAAGCCUCUAGCCAGUAGGUCCGGAGCCCGUACCGCAAACCGACACAGGUGGGCGAGGUGAGUAUCCACAGGUGGACGAGCCAACUCCGGUCAAGGAACUCGGCAAAAUGGCCCCGUAACUUCGGGAGAAGGGGCGCCUUCUGGGCUGGUGGGUAACCUUCCGGCCUGGGAGGCCGCAGAGAAUCGGCCCGGGCGACUGUUUACCAAAAACACAGGUCCCUGCUAACCCGAAAGGGGAUGUAUAGGGACUGAAACCUGGCCACUGCCGGUAGGUCAAGGGGAGGGGUGCAAGCCCUGAACCGAAGCCCCGGUGAAGGCCGGCCGUAACUAUAACGGUAGGAGCGGGGGCGCAGGUCCCCGCGAGGGCCGUUUCAAAAUCCGGCUAUAUGCUGGGACGGCCCGUGUAUCCCAGGCUACCGAGGAGGUGACAAAGCCGUGGGUGGGGCCAAUCAGCAGGAAAGGCUCUCCAAUACCGAAGCAGCAAGGUGGUUCCUUGCAGGGCUCAUCGAGGGCGAAGGGAGCUUUGCCGUAUCCAUCAAGGAGCAUCCCACAGCCAGAUACGGCUUUUAUGUGGAUCCCGAAUUCUUCAUCUAUCAGCACAAAAGCGGCCGCAGGCUCCUUGAGAUGGCGAAGGAGAUCUUCGGGACGGGCAGGAUCUACCCUAAACCUGGGAAUCCCGAGGUCCUCGUCUUCGCCAUCACUGCUAGAAGGAGCCUUAAGGAGAAGGUGCUCCCGUUCGUCGAAAGGUAUAUGGUUUUCUCCACGAAGAAGAAAGAGCUUCAGCUCUUUGUAGAGAUCGUGGAGGCCCUUGAGCGCAAGGAACACCAUUCCGCUUUCGGGCUGGCGCGCAUCGUCGAGAAGGCGUAUGCGUUGAAUCCGGCCGGGAAGGGGAGGGAGAGGAAGCGACCUCUCCUCGAGGUCUUGGAGAGAAUCCUCAGAGGCCAUACGCCGGACCCCAACAAUUCCGUGACGCGUGACGGGUGACGUGUUACGGAGCUUGGGGAAGAUAUGGUCCAGGCCCCGUGGCGACACGGGGGAAACCUGCCUAAGGUAGCGAAGUUCCUUGUCGGGUAAGUGAAAGAACUUGCCCUGCCGUCCCGCGAGGGACGGUGAAAAUCCGGCUCAUAUCGGGGAAGCCCUCCUGCCCGAGUUCGGGCGUGGGGUAAUCCCGAGGGAAGUCGGCUCCUUUGGGGAGCUUGACCCCGUAACGACUGACCCGAAAGGGGAGGCGCGCUUAACCCCAGCGCGCAAUACGCCGGACCUCACCAAAACGGAAAGAGACGCCUAUGGAGGCUUCCUUCCAAGAAGGGGGAAUGGGAAAUGGAGAAGCUGCAUCCCUGGUACGUGACGGGGCUCGUCGAGGGGGAAGGGUCGUUCGUGGUGAGCUUCUCCCUUAGGCGAAGGCUAAAGGUCGGGGUGGAGACCCGCCCCUCCCUCUCCGUUUCCCAAACCGAAGGAAACCUGGAGCUCCUGAAGCGGUUGCAUGUCUUCUUCCGCUGUGGGGGUAUUCGCUACAGCCGUGGAGAUCGCACCUACAAAUACGAGGUGCGCUCCGUUGACGACCUGAUUAAGCGGAUCAUCCCCCAUUUCGAGCGGUACCCGCUUCAAGGGGAGAAGGCCCAGGAUUUCCAGAAGUUCGCGCGCAUAUGCAGUAUGGUGCACGCGAACCUCCAUCUUAACCACGAUCGCCUGCGGGAGAUCAUCGAGUUGGCCUAUACGAUGAACCCUGCGGGCAAACGGAGACAUAGGAAGGAGGUGCUCCUAAGGGCGCUCGGUGAGGGUAAGGGAUAGUCUGCCUCCCGUGGAAACACGGGGAAAGGUGAAGUUCCGACCCGCAUGAAAGGUCCAACGACCUGGGCGCUGUCUUGACCGGAGGCUCGGUGAACUCGAGGCACGGGUGAAAACGCCCGUGACCCGCGGUGGGACAGAAAGACCCCGUGGAGCUUUACUGCAACCUGGUGUUGGGUCUUGGCAUCCGUUGUCUAGGAUAGGUGGGAGGCUGAGAAGCCCGGGCGCCAGCCCGGGUGGAGCCGUCCUUGGAAUACCACCCUUCGGCUGCUGAGGCUCUAACCGGAGGCCGUGAAAAGCGGUCUUGGGACAGCGCCAGGCGGGCAGUUUUGCUGGGGCGGCAGCCUCCUAAAGGGUAACGGAGGCGCCCAAAGGUCCCCUCAGGCGGGUUAGCGAUCCGCCGUUGAGUGCAAGGGCAGAAGGGGGCUUGACUGCGAGGCCUACAAGCCGAGCAGGGGCGAAAGCCGGGCCUAGUGACCCACUGGCUCCGUGUGGAAGGGCCAGUGAUCAGCGGAUAAAAGUUACCCCGGGGAUAACAGGCUAGUCUCCCCCGAGAGUCCACAUCGACGGGGAGGAUCGGCACCUCGAUGUCGGCUCACCCCAUCCUGGGGCUGCACCAGGUCCCAAGGGUCGGGCUGUUCGCCCGUUAAAGGGGUUCAUGAGCUGGGUUCAGACCGUCGUGAGACAGGUCGGUCCCUAUCUACCGCGGGCGCAGGAGGCUUGAGGGGGUCCGCUCUCAGUACGAGAGGACCGGAGCGGCUGGGCCGCUGGUGUACCAGUUGUCCCGCCCGGGGCACAGCUGGGUAGCUAAGCCCAGAUCGGAUAAGGGCUGAAGGCAUCUAAGCUCGAAGCCGACCCCAAGAUGAGGCCUCCCCAUGAGGGCCCUUCGAGACCAGGAGGUUGAUAGGCCGCAGGUGGAAGCCCGGCGACGGGUGGAGCCGAGCGGUACUAAUAGCCCGAUCGGCUUGCGUAG
rnacentral:rRNA from 1 species